rnacentral:piRNA from 1 species
UGAGCCGAGCAGUAACAAUUGAGGUC